UGGGGAAUUUUGGACAAUGGGCGCAAGCCUGAUCCAGCCAUGCCGCGUGUGUGAAGAAGGCCUUCGGGUUGUAAAGCACUUUCGGACGGAACGAAAUCGCGCGAGUUAAUAGCCCGCGUGGAUGACGGUACCGUAAGAAGAAGCACCGGCUAACUACGUGCCAGCAGCCGCGGUAAUACGUAGGGUGCGAGCGUUAAUCGGAAUUACUGGGCGUAAAGGGUGCGCAGGCGGCCCCGCAAGUCAGGCGUGAAAUCCCCGAGCUCAACUUGGGAAUGGCGCUUGAAACUACGGGGCUGGAGUGUGGCAGAGGGAGGUGGAAUUCCACGUGUAGCGGUGAAAUGCGUAGAUAUGUGGAGGAACACCGAUGGCGAAGGCAGCCUCCUGGGCCAACACUGACGCUCAUGCACGAAAGCGUGGGGAGCAAACAGGAUUAGAUACCCUGGUAGUCCACGCCCUAAACGAUGGGUACUAGACGUCGGGAAGCUUGUCUUCUUGGUGUCGCAGCUAACGCAAUAAGUACCCCGCCUGGGGAGUACGGUCGCAAGAUUA
rnacentral:rRNA from 1 species